GAAGCCCCGGCACCCUUUAGGGGUGCGUCUCCAGACUUGCAAUCUGUUGUGCUCAUGCACUACGGAG
rnacentral:tRNA from 1 species